UACGUAGGGGGCAAGCGUUGUCCGGAAUCAUUGGGCGUAAAGAGCGCGUAGGCGGCCCAGUAAGUCCGCUCUGAAAGUCAGAGGCUCAACCUCUGGAUGCGGGUGGAUACUGCUGGGCUAGAGUCCGGAAGAGGCGAGUGGAAUUCCUGGUGUAGCGGUGAAAUGCGCAGAUAUCAGGAGGAACACCAAUGGCGAAGGCAGCUCGCUGGGACGGUACUGACGCUGAGACGCGAAAGCGUGGGGAGCAAACAGG
rnacentral:rRNA from 1 species